CCUGGAGUGCACAAAACGGAUGAAACUGAACAGGAAGGUAAAUUUAAGAGCAUCACUAUUGCAUUCCAACUGCUAACUGAGGCUGAGCCCAAAGGGCCAGACCUGAGCUAGUCUGCAGCAAAUGUCCCGAGUGGUGCACAGCGUGGACAACCAGGUACUCCACAUCAACUGAAUUGCUCUACAGAUCUCCUCCUGCAGUAUUACUCACUUGAAGUGACCAUGGACCCUGUUGUAUCACUGCAAGGGAGCUAUAUCACUAGGAGUCAACUCCUAAAUCAGAAUUUCGGACAAGCUAUUUCCAAAUGAAGAGAACCAUGCCUUGAAACAGCAGAGUUACCAAAAUCUCUGCCAUGCUCAGAGGAAAAGGCUCAACUGGAGGCAAAAUAAAGCAAACUGUUAGACUCCUAACAAGUACAGAGGGCACUGUGGUGGUGCACUUCUUCCCCCUCUCUGGGCUGAUCUACAAACUCGGGAAGUCUCGCUAGGCCUUAACAUAACUGUAAUGAGUUUGGCAGUUAAGCAUCCCUUGACCGUACCAGGAACUCUUGCAUGGCUGAGACAGGGAGCUGCACUGACCGUACCAAGGACUCCUGUUGCCCAGUAGAGGCUGUGGACAGGAGUAAGAAUAAUUAGUCAUUUCCUGACAACCUUGGGACAUAUCUCUGUCCUCUCCCGACAGCCUUGGAACAUCCCCUAUCUGAAUCUUAAGUCAUUCUCCGACAGCCUUGGAGCCUUCCUUAUCUGAAUCGUUAACUCACGCGAAACGGUACCAGCGCAACUGGAAUCCCAGUAAUUUGCUGAUGACUAAAGCCAUUCAUCUCCCAAAUCUAUAAACAGCUGUCCCAAGUGAGGCCCUUUGAGCUCUCCUGGACCGCAGCAGGCUGCGACCAGCAUCUCCCUCUGAGUGGGACGCCUCUCAGAGCUUGCAAACUCUUCAGUUUGCGAAGAUCAGAGGUCUGUCGCUGAAAGCCGACAAGACUUGGGCUGAUACGCUUUGCUCCUUGAGGCUCAACCCUUUGCCUGUUGAGAAAGAUGCCGAAGCAUGUGAUGUAAAUAUUUUCACUGAACUCAAAGGGAAUUUUACUUUUACUUGUUUAUGUAUAUCUCUUAGUGUCUUUGUGCAUGUGUGUGUGUACUAACCUGAACAUUCUAUAGCAGGUAUAUUACAAAUACUGCUUUUCAAAUCUGUACAUAAGUUACUGUCGUGAACUUUAUUCAACUGUGAAUGAAUCUCAGGCUGCUAUUAUACUCAUAAUCCCUUUAGAUAUAAACCAUUGACCAAGUCUGGGACUAGGAGUUGAUCCAGUUGCACCUAGACUCCGACAGGAGUUUAGAAAGCAAGGGGGUCUUCUCUGAACCUUGUGACUGAACAGGAGGGUCUCCCCUACCUUUUUACAUUGCUGAUCUCUGUACAAAUCACGAGAAAUAAAUUCUAACUUGA